GACGAACCGUGCAACCGUUGUUCGGAAUCACUGGGCUUAAAGGGCGCGUAGGCGGGUCUCCAAGUCGGUGGUGAAAUCUUUCAGCUCAACUGGAAAAGUGCCGCCGAUACUGGGGAUCUCGAGGGAGGUAGGGGUCGAUGGAACUAAUGGUGGAGCGGUGAAAUGCGUAGAUAUCAUUAGGAACGCCGGUGGCGAAAGCGAUCGACUGGACCUCUUCUGACGCUGAGGCGCGAAAGCCAGGGGAGCAAACGGG
rnacentral:rRNA from 1 species